rnacentral:sRNA from 1 species
GGGCACUGUGGUGUGUGCCUGUAACCCCAGCUACUUGGGAGGCUGAGGCAGGAGGAUCAUUUGAGGCCAGGGGUUUGAGGCCAGUCUGGAGAACACAAUGAGACCCUGUCUCUU